rnacentral:rRNA from 1 species
CUAUACAUGCAAGUCGAGCGAGCCGAACUAAUUGAUUACCUUCGGGUAUGAAGUUAGGGAAGCGAGCGGCGGAUGGGUGAGUAACACGUGGGUAACCUACCCUAUAGUCUGGGAUACCACUUGGAAGCAGGUGCUAAUACCGGAUAAAAGGAGAGAUCACAUGAUUUCUUUUUGAAAGGCGGCGUAAGCUGUCGCUAAAGGAUGGACCCGCGGUGCAUUAGCUAGUUGGUAAGGUAACGGCUUACCAAGGCAACGAUGCAUAGCCGAGUUGAGAGACUGAUCGGCCACAUUGGGACUGAGACACGGCCCAAACUCCUACGGGAGGCAGCAGUAGGGAAUCUUCCACAAUGGACGCAAGUCUGAUGGAGCAACGCCGCGUGAGUGAAGAAGGUUUUCGGAUCGUAAAGCUCUGUUGUUGGUGAAGAAAGAUAGUGAGAGUAACUGCUCAUUAUUUGCCGGUAAUCAACCAGAAAGUCACGGCUAACUACGUGCCAGCAGCCGCGGUAAUACGUAGGUGGCAAGCGUUGUCCAGAUUUAUUGGGCGUAAAGCGAGCGCAGGCGGAAAGAUAAGUCAGAUGUGAAAGCCCUCGGCUUAACCGAGGAAUAGCAUCGGAAACUGUCUUUCUUGAGUGCAGAAGAGGAGAGUGGAACUCCAUGUGUAGCGGUGGAAUGCGUAGAUAUAUGGAAGAACACCAGUGGCGAAGGCGGCUCUCUGGUCUGUAACUGACGCUGAGGCUCG